GAUGAACGCUGGCGGCGUGCCUAAUACAUGCAAGUCGAGCGAACGGACGAGAAGCUUGCUUCUCUGAUGUUAGCGGCGGACGGGUGAGUAACACGUGGAUAACCUACCUAUAAGACUGGGAUAACUUCGGGAAACCGGAGCUAAUACCGGAUAAUAUUUUGAACCGCAUGGUUCAAAAGUGAAAGACGGUCUUGCUGUCACUUAUAGAUGGAUCCGCGCUGCAUUAGCUAGUUGGUAAGGUAACGGCUUACCAAGGCGACGAUGCGUAGCCGACCUGAGAGGGUGAUCGGCCACACUGGAAAUGCGACACGGUCCAGAAUCAUACGGGAGGCAGCAGUAGGGAAGAUUCAGCAAUGGGCGAAAGCCUGACGGAGCAAUGCCGAGUGAGUGAUGAAGGUCUUCGGAUCGUAAAACUCUGUUAUUAGGGAAGAACAAAUGUGUAAGUAAAUAUGCACGUCUUGACGGUACCUAAUCAGAAAGCCACGGCUAACUACGUG
rnacentral:rRNA from 1 species